GGAUACUUAGUACGGCGAGUGAGCGGUAAAAGCUCAAAUUUGAAAUCUGGUACUUUCAGUGCCCGAGUUGUAAUUUGUAGAAUUUGUCUUUGAUUAGGUCCUUGUCUAUGUUCCUUGGAACAGGACGUCAUAGAGGGUGAGAAUCCCGUUUGGCGAGGAUACCUUUUCUCUGUAAGACUUUUUCGAAGAGUCGAGUUGUUUGGGAAUGCAGCUCAAAGUGGGUGGUAAAUUCCAUCUAAAGCUAAAUAUUGGCGAGAGACCGAUAGCGAACAAGUACAGUGAUGGAAAGAUGAAAAGAACUUUGAAAAGAGAGUGAAAAAGUACGUGAAAUUGUUGAAAGGGAAGGGCAUUUGAUCAGACAUGGUGUUUUUUGCAUGCACUCGCCUCUCGUGGGCUUGGGCCUCUCAAAAAUUUCACUGGGCCAACAUCAAUUCUGGCAGCAGGAUAAAUCAUUAAGAAUGUAGCUACUUCGGUAGUGUUAUAGCUUUUUGGAAUACUGUUAGCCGGGAUUGAGGACUGCGCUUCGGCAAGGAUGUUGGCAUAAUGGUUAAAUGCCGCCCGUCUUGAAACACGGACCAA
rnacentral:rRNA from 1 species